AUCUGCCAUUAAUUUUUCGUGCUUAGCGUCACAAUCUUUUUGCAUUUUAAUGGUAUAUUUAUUUAAUUCCUUAACCUUCGGUUUUCUCUUCGAUUUGCCCACUAUAUUAUUAUAUGUUUGCAGGACAUAGCGGAGAAUGUCAAUUUGGCUCUCAAGGAUCUUUCCUCUGUUGAUUCCUAUGCUACAGCUUUUUUUUUUAUAAUAUUGCGCUUUUAUUCUUCAAAGGGAUCGUUGGAGGUUAUUGAUUGGUCGCCUAGUUGACCUUGCUGUGCCUCGACUCACAGCAGUUGAGUAUCCCUUUGAAUCGCAAUUAAAGGACGGCUUACGUAUCCUGUUCCUUAUUCUCAGUAUAAGGCUUUAUUAUACUCAAUUGUUGAGUUUUAUUGUCGCCUGAGCUCAAAAUAUUGAGGAUCCAAUGGACCAAAAUGUUUAGUAAAAUUUAUGCAGAGCUGCGUCACUUAUUCCUUACCUUGGGUGGGGGGUAAUAAGUGAUAGGCACUGCUAUUCUACUUGAAAUCUUUCUUUUUAUGUUUUCUUUUACCCCUUACCACUGGUGGGGGGAAGUAAAAUAUAUAAAUAAAAAGAAUCUUUUCUGUGGAGAUUGUAUUUCAAAUCUAAUUUUAUUUUUGUUGAGCAGCUCCUUUUAUACAAAAUUCUUAGCCUAUGUUUUUGAGUUAAUUAUCAGACCAACGCAUAACACAUAAUAAGUGCGUUGCUCUUAUCUAAAAGUACGCGUAUUAUCUUAUCAGCAAAUGCAUUUGUAUUCAUUUGCUAGUGUGCAUCUAUUGCAUUUCCACCCUGCCAGCCAAAAGUGGUGAAAAAACUAGUGAGACAGUAGGUUUUCAAAUCCUCAAAAGUAGUGAAAAAAGUGGUGAGCUUGAAGAUACUAACCACUUUUCCCCCUCACACGUACGUAUGCAUGUGAUAAUGCAUCUCUGUUGCGCUUAUUCAGCAGUGUCAUAUAAAUUGUGUAUGUGAAAAUAUAGCUGAACUGCUCUAAUUACCCUAAUAGUCAGCUGAUGCGGGGUUGCAUUUUUUGAUUCCUACUUUUAAAAUUUAUAAAAUUUUUAACAAAAUUUAAUUUUUAAACUAAUUUUUAAAUUAUUAAUUUUAUUAUUUUUCAUACAUAUUGACAUAAAUUUUAUUAUAAUUAAAUAUAUUAAGGCUAACAUUGUUAUUUGGACAAUAUAUUUAAUUUAAAAAAAAUAAUUAUCAUCUGAAAAAAAAAAUAUUAAAGAAAAGCAUUAUUAAUACCUGAAAAUAAAAGACAAAUAUCUGAAAAAAGAUUAUAAAAGACAAAUACCUGAAAAAAGAUUAUUUUAAGAAAAACAUUAAUAAUAUUAUAUGAUUACAAUAAAACCAAUUAUAUCAAAGAAAGAUUAAAUAAAUAUUAAGAUGUUAAGCGAAUUUUUAUUAAUAUUUUAAAACACCAUUUUCUAAAUCAAAAAUACAAUUUUUAAUUUUAGAAUUAAUUUUAUUAUUAUUACUAUAAAUGUAUAAUUAUCUAUAAAUAUUUAUAUAUACAUAUGUAAGUAAUAUUUUUUGUUCAUCCUACAGUAAUAUUUUAAGGGGGUAUUCUACUCUAGAAGCAUGAAUUUCAGGUAAUUUUUAAAGUAUCGUAAAAAAAGGCAAUCAAUAUUUUUACAAAUCAUUUUUUUAUGGUGUUUUUGUUGAUAUCUCAAGAAUACAGAAAAAAAGAUUUACAAAAAAAUAUUAAAAAUUAAAAUAAUGAGAGGGUGGUGGGCGAGACAGUUGUAAAAAAAAAUGGCGCAUCCUGGUGACAUUGAUCUUGACUCUCCUGGUGGUCUGAAAAAAAAUCAAAAGAAAUUCUUAAUCAGUAAGGAUGCUGUUAUAGUCCCUACCUCAGGGAACACGAAAUUUUUUUUUUUUUAUAAAUGGCGACUGCCUGAAAAUAAAAAUCAUUUUUUACGUUUUUUUUUGAAAUUCCUGAAUUUUUUUAAAAUAUUAAAAACAAAAAUUUUGACACGAUGCUUAUAGGAACGAUAAAGGAUUAUAUAAAGAAGGUUCACACAAAAUUUCAAGUAAAUCGGUUGUAUAGAACUUGAGAUAAUGCCGGUACCUUGUGGAAAAAAGUAGUUUCUAGAAAAACGCGUUUAAAAAAUUCGAUACGGCCGAACCGGGCUAGGUACUGCGUCACUAAAGUAACUGUAGCUCUUAAAAUAAUUUUAAUUUUUAAAAAUCCUUUGGAGGAUAUGUUCUUAAGGGUCUAAACUUUAAAUAUGUGAAAAAAAUCGAAUUUUUCAAAAUUCUAGAGUAGAAUACCCCCUUAAUGCUAUUCAUACAUUAAAAAUGAAUAUUACAUUUCUUUUAACAAAUACUAUAUUUAUUUAUUUAAUCGAUACGCGUCAAGCAAAAAAGGUGAAGUCAACCACGCGAGUUAAGUGCGUAGAGCCAAGAUUAAAUAAAAACACAAAGUUGUUAUAAUUAACUGCACUUUACUUUAUUGGUUCUUCUGAACUGAACUGAAAAUGUGAAUAUCACUACUAUUUAUAAUAAUAAAAAUUGUUAAGCUGUUGUACUGUAA